AAUAAUAAUAAUAAUAAUAAUAAUAAUAAUAAUAAUUAGUGUAUGGCCUCUUAGGGCUUCCAUAGAUUUACCACAUACACCCACAGCUUAAAUAAAACAUACCCUAAUUGACUUCAUAUCCUAAUUUAUGUGGAUGUAAUGGCAAUAACCCCAUUAAAACAAAAGGACUGAAAUUGAAGGAAGAAAGAAUUUUUGAAAACAUUUUCAUCUGUGAAUUUAAUUUGAUACUUUAUGCUUUAAACUUUCACACUUUAUGACCCAGAUCUUGGAUGAAAAAGGGUCACAGUCUGUUCUAUAAAACGUAGCCUAUCAAUAACAGUUAUACUUCAUGGAAUGCAAACCGUCUUGAAUUUUCAUUUUUGAUAUCAUCAGUAAGGAAAUCUUUUCUGUAUCACGGUAUACCGUCAAACUGGUUUAGUGUUAUAACCUUACACUGCAAUUAAAAGCAGAAAUGAAUACAAACUACAAAAAAGUGAAAGGCUGGCGAAGCCCGGUUUUGACUGUAGUGCGUCUGUGUAAAUAUUUUUCAUUAAAGUAUUUUAAAAAUGAAUGCUUCUGCGUUACCAACCCGAAGAACAAACACUAAUGAAAAAAGUUACUACUUUUAUUUAAGCUAACACUGGUCUGUGUACUAGCGUUAGCCACGAGAGGCUCCACCGCAGUCCAGCCUUCAGAGCAUGUAAACAACCACCGCGCUCAACUCGGCCUGGGACUUACACAUGAGUGACCCAUGCUGGGAUUCCCACAGGAGGGUCAGACAGCGUUUUCCGACUGCAGUCCAAAAGUUUAGUCCCGUCUGCAGUUUCUGAACAGGUACAGGCUGACGGACACGGGUCCAGGCCCACAGCAGCACUCAGUAUGAUCAUGAACAGGGCCUGGGGGAUGGGCCAACCCGCCGCCAUUUUGACUCUCUCACUCACGAACAGUUUUUAUUUACGGCAUUAAUAGGACAAGACAAAAAAAUAAGUUUUAUUAUGCGUCUAAAUCAGCGGCUGGGUUUCCAAUAUAAUCGACUGCUGUAAUAAAUCCGCUUCGAAAUAAAAACCAAAGCAUCUCUGAUCCAUAGCUGGGCUUUUUCCCGUUCUUUCCCCCGGAAUUCCCUUCUCCUUCCGCCUUCCAGUCUGCAGCAGCUCGGAUAACUGUUUCCUCAGCGAGGCGUCAAACGGCCCGCAAAGUACCAAAGUCCCUGUCAAGUAGCGUAAAAUAGUCCAUCAUAUAUAAACUUGCCCGAGAGCAACAUAACGCGUUGCCACAAUGGCCCUUGUUUUCAAACACGCUUCCAUGACUUUUCUGCAAAGGAAAACAAAAGCGUUUUUCCCAAGACGACAUGCGAUCUCCUGUGCGCUAUAGCGCCCCCGCUCAUCCGCGCAUGCGCACUGCAGCUUAGCGCCAUGCGCCAGUUUCUCUGCAGAUGGCGAUGGAGAAG
ensembl:lncRNA